rnacentral:rRNA from 1 species
AGCGAACGCUGGCGACAGGCUUAACACAUGCAAGUCGAGCGGGCACUUCGGUGUCAGCGGCAGACGGGUGAGUAACACGUGGGAACGUACCCUUCGGUUCGGAAUAACGCUGGGAAACUAGCGCUAAUACCGGAUACGCCCUUUUGGGGAAAGGUUUACUGCCGAAGGAUCGGCCCGCGUCUGAUUAGCUAGUUGGUGGGGUAAUGGCCUACCAAGGCGACGAUCAGUAGCUGGUCUGAGAGGAUGAUCAGCCACACUGGGACUGAGACACGGCCCAGACUCCUACGGGAGGCAGCAGUGGGGAAUAUUGGACAAUGGGCGCAAGCCUGAUCCAGCCAUGCCGCGUGAGUGAUGAAGGCCUUAGGGUUGUAAAGCUCUUUUGUCCGGGACGAUAAUGACGGUACCGGAAGAAUAAGCCCCGGCUAACUUCGUG